GACGAACGCUGGCGGCGUGCUUAACACAUGCAAGUCGAACGGAAAGGCCCUGCUUUUGUGGGGUGCUCGAGUGGCGAACGGGUGAGUAACACGUGAGUAACCUGCCCUUGACUUUGGGAUAACUUCAGGAAACUGGGGCUAAUACCGGAUAGGAGCUCCUGCUGCAUGGUGGGGGUUGGAAAGUUUCGGCGGUUGGGGAUGGACUCGCGGCUUAUCAGCUUGUUGGUGGGGUAGUGGCUUACCAAGGCUUUGACGGGUAGCCGGCCUGAGAGGGUUACCGGCCACAUUGGGACUGAGAUACGGCCCAGACUCCUACGGGAGGCGGCAGUGGGGAAUAUUGCACAAUGGGCGGAAGCCUGAUGCAGCAACGCCGCGUGCGGGAUGACGGCCUUCGGGUUGUAAACCGCUUUCGCCUGUGACGAAGCGUGAGUGACGGUAAUGGGUAAAGAAGCACCGGCUAACUACGUG
rnacentral:rRNA from 1 species